AUGGAGGCCAACGUCGCCUCAGCCGUACGCGUGGCUCACGCCGGGGAGCAGGAGCCUGGUCACCCUGGCCUUGUCCCUGCCUUGCCAGGUGGCCUUGGACAAAUCCUGUUCCAUCAUCUCCAAGCCUCUGACAGAAGAGGAGGAGGCGCUGUGCCCCAUGACCCUGGGGAUGCACCACGACACGUACCUAAGGGGGGUUGCCGCACCUCACCUUUCCUUGGAGUCCUGCUUAGAGGACCUGGAACUCCCCUUCCAGACACCUCGACUGAUGGCUGGGCCAGCAAAGCCUGUGCUGACACAGGGUUAGACUCCUGCUUGACGAUCUGCUCCCCUUUACUUUUGUGCAUAAAUCAGGGGCCUCCUCUCCUGAAGCCCGCUCUUGUGCAUUGGCCCUUGCCAGCAGGGUGUGGGGACCAAGCGCUUGAGCCACGGCAAAACCUGCAAGCACAGAGGCACGGAGGUAAAUCCAUGAAUGGAUCCAGCAAGCGCUCCUUGGGCUCUGCAUCAAAUGAGUUAAGGCGUGUGAGUGCUUGGCACACGGGAGCGAGGCUUCCGCUGCGCCCUGGGCCAGGCGGGGUGGGGGCCACACGUGCGCCCCUCAAAGAGCUCUCAGUGGGGAGGAGGCAGCUGCAAUGGACAGCCUCGGCCCAGGGUGGGAAGGGUGGUGUUCAGAGUGACCGAGUCCUUGGUGGGCGGUGGGUGGCCUCUCGUUCUGCAGGGCUUUUGCAGGUUGACAUCACAGGGCCCUUCCUGCCUGCCUGCCUGCCUGCCUGCCUGUCUUCCUCCUUCUUUCUUUCUUUCUUUCUUUCUUUCUUUCUUUCUUUCUUUCUUUCUUUCUUUCUUUCUUUCUUUCUUUCUUUCUUUCUUCCUUCCUUCCUUCCUUCCUUCCUUCCUUCCUUCCUUCCUUCCUUCCUUCCUUCCUUCCUCCUUCCUUCCUUCCUUCCUUCCUUCCUUCCUUCCUUCCUUCCUUCCUUCCUUCCUUCCUUCCUUCCUUCCUUCCUUCCUUCCUUCCUUCCUUCCUUCCUUCUUCUUUCUUCUCUCAUAGGCUCUACACCAAACAUAGGGCUUGAACUCAUGACCCUGACAUCAAGAGUUGCAUGCUUCACCAGCUGA
rnacentral:lncRNA from 12 species